UCCAUUGUCCUCAUUUGUAAGUCGCAGCCCAAGACUGGUUGCCCACUGAAGCUAAGCAGGGUUGAGCCUGGUCAGUACCUGGAUGGGAGACCUCCUGGGAAAACUGGGUUGCUGCUGGAA
rnacentral:rRNA from 1 species